UAACACAUGCAAGUCGAGGGGCAUCAGGAAGAAAGCUUGCUUUCUUUGCUGGCGACCGGCGCACGGGUGAGUAACACGUAUCCAACCUGCCCUUUACUCGGGGAUAGCCUUUCGAAAGAAAGAUUAAUACCCGAUAGCAUAAUGAUUCCGCAUGGUUUCAUUAUUAAAGGAUUCCGGUAAAGGAUGGGGAUGCGUUCCAUUAGGUUGUUGGUGAGGUAACGGCCCACCAAGCCUUCGAUGGAUAGGGGUUCUGAGAGGAAGGUCCCCCACAUUGGAACUGAGACACGGUCCAAACUCCUACGGGAGGCAGCAGUGAGGAAUAUUGGUCAAUGGGCGCUAGCCUGAACCAGCCAAGUAGCGUGAAGGAUGAAGGCUCUAUGGGUCGUAAACUUCUUUUAUAUAAGAAUAAAGUGCAGUAUGUAUACUGUUUUGUAUGUAUUAUAUGAAUAAGGAUCGGCUAACUCCGUGCCAGCAGCCGCGGUAAUACGGAGGAUCCGAGCGUUAUCCGGAUUUAUUGGGUUUAAAGGGAGCGUAGGUGGACUGGUAAGUCAGUUGUGAAAGUUUGCGGGCUCAACCGUAAAAUUGCAGUUGAUACUGUCAGUCUUGAGUACAGUAGAGGUGGGCGGAAUUCGUGGUGUAGCGGUGAAAUGCUUAGAUAUCACGAAGAACUCCGAUUGCGAAGGCAGCUCACUGGACUGCAACUGACACUGAUGCUCGAAAGUGUGGGUAUCAAACAGGAUUAGAUACCCUGGUAGUCCACACAGUAAACGAUGAAUACUCGCUGUUUGCGAUAUACAGUAAGCGGCCAAGCGAAAGCAUUAAGUAUUCCACCUGGGGAGUACGCCGGCAACGGUGAAACUCAAAGGAAUUGACGGGGGCCCGCACAAGCGGAGGAACAUGUGGUUUAAUUCGAUGAUACGCGAGGAACCUUACCCGGGCUUAAAUUGCAGUGGAAUGAUGUGGAAACAUGUCAGUGAGCAAUCACCGCUGUGAAGGUGCUGCAUGGUUGUCGUCAGCUCGUGCCGUGAGGUGUCGGCUUAAGUGCCAUAACGAGCGCAACCCUUAUCUUUAGUUACUAACAGGUUAUGCUGAGGACUCUAGAGAGACUGCCGUCGUAAGAUGUGAGGAAGGUGGGGAUGACGUCAAAUCAGCACGGCCCUUACGUCCGGGGCUACACACGUGUUACAAUGGGGGGUACAGAAGGCAGCUAGCGGGUGACCGUAUGCUAAUCCCAAAAUCCUCUCUCAGUUCGGAUCGAAGUCUGCAACCCGACUUCGUGAAGCUGGAUUCGCUAGUAAUCGCGCAUCAGCCACGGCGCGGUGAAUACGUUCCCGGGCCUUGUACACACCGCCCGUCAAGCCAUGGGAGCCGGGGGUACCUGAAGUACGUAACCGCAAGGAUCGUCCUAGGGUAAAACUGGUGACUGGGGCUAAG
rnacentral:rRNA from 1 species